rnacentral:lncRNA from 1 species
GAGGAGAAUGUAAACGUGAUGAGUGAGCUCAGCCUACGUCUUGGUGUUGUCCUUUCCGGAUGGGUUAAAAGAAAGAACCAGAAAGCGGGGUUACAAUGGUGCCGUGAUUCCCGUUUGUGAUCAACGCAAAGCCAAUCUCCGGGGGGGGACGACAAGGCCUACAGCGAAGAGAAGCGUGGACAUCGCGUGCUUCAUUCGGUCGAGUGGACUGCGGUUGCCAGAUUCUCCAGUUAAAGACACUUUUUUUCGGGGGACUUUCGAAAGAGAAAAACGUCGCACUACAGAUAAGUGAAUAGAAGGCUUUUUGAUUAAUCUGACUUUUGAGUUUAGCUCAGAACAUUCUGAGUAUUUUACAUUUGAAAACAUGGCUGAGGGUGGUGCAGAUAAUUCUUUUCUUGGGAUUGGACGGGGGAAAUAUCUGAUGCAGUUUUCUGAUAACAAGCCAGGGUUGGGUGAAUUUGACUGUAAGACUGACAUUCAUGCUGGUAAUGGGAGAAAUUAUAUGGCUCAUGAUGUACAUAAGACUCUCCCUCUUACUUCUACUCCGAAGCCAUGUAAUGUGGAAAGUUCUAGUGAUCAAGGCGUCAGUGAAUUAGGUGCUUUAGUUAAAGAAUUGGGCCGACAAAUUGGUGACUCAGUCACAGCCAAACUUUUGUCAGGGGGUGAAUUUGCCAGAACCAAUAAUGGUAGUAACACCACAGGCUCUCAGUGUGCUAAUCUUGAUUUGUCACAGUUGAAUGUCGUUCUGAAAUCAGAUGAAAAAGUCCCAUCAGUGUUUAGGGGGGAUGGUUUAGGUAGACAUGACAUUCAAGAAUGGGUUGAGAUGAUGCAAGUUUACCUGCAGAAGAGAAAUGUCAAAAUUACCGAACAGGCUGAUGAGAUUAUUAGUCAUCUAAUGGGCAGGGCUAAAGACAUUGUGAAAGUAGCCCUACGCAGCAACCCUGCGCUUGACUGCACAAAUCACCCUGAGAUUAUAUACAGCAUACUUAAGCAACACUUCAGUGAAGUGUCCUGCUCCAGCAUGCCACUCGCAGACUUUUACAGCACAUUGCCCAAACACGGCGAAAAUCCUGUUGACUACUGGCUUCGCCUUAAUAAAGCAGCAGAUAUAGCUGACGAGUGUCUCAGAGGGCAGGGCAGAAGAAUGGACAAUUUAAAUUCUGAAGUUGCAAUGAUGUUUGUGAGAAAUUGCCCAGACCCUGAUCUAGCACGCACUUUUAAAGUACGGCCGUUAGAAUGCUGGACUGCAAAAGAUGUCCAGGAGCUUUUAGAUAGUUUCCAACGUGAGCUUAAGCUAAGAUCAAACACCAACGCCUACCCAGUCAGCCAAAAUGCACACACGACCAUGCAGAGCUGUGGAAAUUCUAAUGUUGUUUCUGAGNNNNNNNNNNNNNNNNNNNNNNNNNNNNNNNNNNNNNNNNNNNNNNNNNNNNNNNN